CCUCACUCUAAAAGCAUGAACCAACAUACGCACCCACACACACACACACACACACACCUUACCAAUCAAGUCUGCAUGCCACAUGUCUCCUUCUCCAGUCCCAAGCCACCAGUCACAGCAUUGUCUGCUGCAUCCUCUGGGAAACAGGUUACACCAGAUGAUACAUCAGAGAGUAAGGAAGUCUGCGACCUAGCUAGUGACUGAUGGAUGGUUGGAGGUUACACUGCGAGGACCCAAAGGCAUCUUCAGUAUCUCCUCACAGCCUAGCAAGAGGAGGGCAUGACGGAAGGAAAAAGGAAGAAAAGAAAGACAGAAAAUUAUUGUGUUUCAAGGUCCGCGGAUUUAGACAGAGGGCAGCAAAUUGGCGGACCAAAACAGACCCUAAGUGGUUCAAGUCCAGCUACAGACCACAAUAUGGAAAGUGGAAUGCCAUUUUUCCUGUUCACCUGUGUUUCAUUCUCUUAACUAGCACCAGCUUAUUUAAGUUGGUGUUUAUCCUCUGUCCUUGUUGGUUAGUCUGCCUUUUCACAUCCGUCCUACAACCCAAGUGUUUUGUGCCUCAUUUCUUACCUGCAAUUGCUGCCUGUGCUCUUUGCAUCAUCCGGAUUUAUACAUUUUUGUUUGUUGAGUUUUUGCUCCAGUUGUUGCCUGCCUUUGUGUGCAUCAGUUGUUUUUUUCAACCUGCCUGCCUUGCUGUCUUGUGUUUGGGUCCUGCGUAACUGUAACCCUCAGGCUUUAACUGUACCAUAAAAUUGUUGAGAGAAUUGUUGCAUCACAAGGUCAAGAAUGAACUUUCACAUUCAUCUAGUUGCUAGUCUUACUCCCAAUGUCCUUUCAUUUGUCAUAAAGGUGAAUAGCAUGAUGUUAUAUAUUCAGAUACAGUGGAUGGCAGUGUGUUUUUUAGCCCGCUGGUAAAACAAAUGAAGAAGAGGAGAAUGACUAUUUAACGCAGUUGGCCGAUAUGGAAGAAGACGAGUGUCCUCAUCAACGAGACCAAUCCCCCCAAAGAGCACCGGACCUUGAAGCCAGCUUUUGUCGUGGCCAAGCCAUGUAAUUACAUCAUCAUGUGAUGCACUGGGGACUGUUUCUUCAAAGCUAACAUUGUGAAAGGCGUCUGUAAACUCGUAAUAAAAGCCUCAAAACCCCUGCGAAAUGACAAAAUAAAAUUUGGAGAAUCUAGAAGUGCCGCACGAUUACAUGUUAUCUCCAUCCAAGUUAGCCAGGCACUAAACCUGAAAUUCGGCGCAAGUCUCGAAUGCACAUGCUCUAUGGCUCCCCAGC